GAGCGCCACUAAGCGUCCAUCCCAGACUCUAAGUAUCCGUGCUUCCUCUGGCCCAGGGGAGCGCGGUGCCAGGAGCGCGCGCACGGGGAGAAAGCUCUCCCACGUGAGUGCGCUGCCCGGCAAACAGCUGCGUGCAGGCCCGCACCUCUGUCCCGCGGUCCUGCACAGUCCCAACGAACAUUCCCCCCCGUCUGAACCGGUCAUCGCGCGCGUCUGAGGGUGCACACUCGGCGCCGAGCUUCCACAAACACUCACCUCUCAUCUCUGCUUCAGUCCCGCUGUUCCUGGUUAAGGGGCCAAACCGGAGCACUUCCGCGUCACGCUGGAAAUAGCGCAGAGUGGCGCGCUUUGCCAGUCACGUGACGAAGGACUCAACCAUUUUGGGUGUUUUGUUUUGUAUUUUUAUAUUGUUUAUGUUCCUGACAUUUUGAACAUUGUAUGGAGUCAUUUUGGUUAAUUUUUAGUUUCUAUGCAGGAAACUGAGUUUUGAGUUUUGUUAUUUGGUUAUUUUGUUUUUAUCCUUAAAAACCCCUUAAUUUGUAUUUUGGUUUACCCGGGGGAGGGGCUAAAGGGGUAUUUAAAGGG